AUACCAACACACACUCUGCAUUCACUACACACACUCUGUAUUCACUACACGAACACACACUCUGCAGUCACUAUACACACACACUCUGCAUUCAUUAUACACACACAAUAUUCACUAUACACACUCAAAUGUAAUGCGUACAUGGUGAAUGCAGAGUGUGUAUAGUGAAUGCAGUGUGUGUGUAAUGAAUAUAGUGUGUGUGUAGUGAAUGCAGAGUGUGUAUAGUGAA